rnacentral:sRNA from 1 species
GUCGUGAGAUGUUGGGUUAAGUCCCGCAACGAGCGCAACCCUUGUCCUAUGUUGCCAGCGGGUAAUGCCGGGGACUCGUAGGAGACUGCCGGGGUCAACUCGGAGGAAGGUGGGGACGACGUCAAGUCAUCAUGCCCCUUAAGCCCAGGGCUGCAAACAUGCUACAAUGGCCAGUACAAAGGGCUGCUAUACCGCGAGGUUGAGCGAAUCCCAUAAAGCUGGUCUCAGUUCGGAUUGGAGUCUGCAACUCGACUCCAUGAAGCCGGAGUCGCUAGUAAUCCCGGAUCAGCAACGCCGGGGUGAAUACGUUCCCGGGCCUUGUACACACCGCCCGUCACACCACGAAAGUCGGCAACGCCCGAAGCCAGUGGCCUAACCCUUUGGGGAAGGAGCUGUCGAAGGUGGGGUCGGCGAUUGGGGUGAAGUCGUAACAAGGUAGCCGUACCGGAAGGUGCGGCUGGAUCACCUCCUUUCUAAGGAGAUCACCUCCAUCCGGAGGAGAACUCCCAGUUGAUGCACUCGCUAUUAGGUGUCCGAUGUGCUCGAGACGGUCGUAGGUUCGCCUCCCGACUCGUGCCCCCGGUUCUGUCGUCCUCUGUUCCGCUUUGAAGGAGCGCCCCGACGUCCCUCGCAUUCGUGCGAGGGCGCCGUCGCGUCUGACGCCCCUUGAGAACUGCAUAGCGAGCACGAGCAUCUUUGUUCUUCCAAGCUACAAAGAGCCAACGGUGGAUGCCUUGGCGUCUACUACCGAUGAAGGACGUGUCUGGCUGCGAAAUGCCACGGGGAGCUGCCGAGAAAGCUUUGAUCCGUGGAUGU